rnacentral:rRNA from 1 species
UAUGCGAUACUUGGUGUGAAUUGCAGAAUUCAGUGAAUCAUCGAAUCUUUGAACGCACCUUGCGCUCCUUGGUAUUCCGAGGAGCAUGCCUGUUUGAGUGUCAUGAAAUUCUCAACCUUUGUUACUUUUUUUGUUUCAAAGAGUCUGGAAGUGGAGGUUGCUGGCUUUUGUUGAAAGAGUCGGCUCCUCUGAAAUACAUUAGUGGGACCCAUCGUUGAUUAGCUCCCUGGUGUGAUAGUUAUCUACGCCGUGGCUCAUCACGAUAUUGUGUGGUUCAGCUUUCUAACGAGACAACAACAACUGUCUUUGAUUAUUUUGACCUCAAAUCAGGUAGGACUACCCGCUGAACUUAAGCAUAUCAAUAAGCGGAGGA